UACGGAGGGGGCAAGCGUUGUUCGGAAUUAUUGGGCGUAAAGGGCGCGUAGGCGGCCGACCAAGUCGGGUGUGAAAUCCCUCGGCUCAACCGAGGAACUGCAUUCGAUACUGGUUGGCUAGAGUCCGGGGGGGGAUGGUGGAAUUCCCAGUGUAGCGGUGAAAUGCGUAGAUAUUGGGAAGAACACCGGUGGCGAAGGCGGCCAUCUGGACCGGCACUGACGCUGAGGCGCGAAAGCCAGGGGAGCGAAUGGG
rnacentral:rRNA from 1 species